GACGAACGCUGGCGGCGCGCUUAACACACGCAAGUCGAGCGAUGAAAUCUUGACAGAACCCUUCGGGGUGAAGAUAAGAUGGAUUAGCGGCGGACGGGUGAGUAACACGUGAGUAACCUGCCUUAGACAUUGGGAUAGCCUCGGGAAACCGGGAUUAAUACCAAAUGAAAUCACAUAUGCACAUGCAUAAAUGAUCAAAGCUCCGGCGGUCUAAGAUGGACUCGCGUCCCAUUAGCUAGUUGGUGAGGUAACGGCCCACCAAGGCGACGAUGGGUAGCCGGCCUGAGAGGGUGAACGGCCACAUUGGAACUGAGAAACGGUCCAAACUCCUACGGGAGGCAGCAGUGGGGAAUAUUGCACAAUGGAGGGAACUCUGAUGCAGCGACGCCGCGUGAACGAAGAAGGCUUUCGAGUCGUAAAGUUCUUUUAUAUGGGAAGAUAAUGACGGUACCAUAAGAAAAAGCCCCGGCUAACUACGUGCCAGCAGCCGCGGUAAUACGUAGGGGGCUAGCGUUGUCCGGAAUCACUGGGCGUAAAGGGUUCGCAGGCGGAAAUGCAAGUCAGGUGUAAAAGGCAGUAGCUUAACUACUGUAAGCAUUUGAAACUGCAUAUCUUGAGAAGAGUAGAGGUAAGUGGAAUUUUUAGUGUAGCGGUGAAAUGCGUAGAUAUUAAAAAGAAUACCGGUGGCGAAGGCGACUUACUGGGCUCAUUCUGACGCUGAGGAACGAAAGCGUGGGUAGCAAACAGG
rnacentral:rRNA from 1 species